rnacentral:rRNA from 1 species
CCUACGGGUGGCAGCAGUGAGGAAUAUUGGUCAAUGGGCGGAAGCCUGAACCAGCCAAGUAGCGUGCAGGAUGACGGCCCUACGGGUUGUAAACUGCUUUUAUACGGGAAUAACGCGCCUUACGUGUAGGGCUUUGCAUGUACCGUAUGAAUAAGGACCGGCUAAUUCCGUGCCAGCAGCCGCGGUAAUACGGAAGGUCCGGGCGUUAGCCGGAUUUAUUGGGUUUAAAGGGCGCGUAGGCCGCAUGUCAAGCGUGCUGUGAAAUGUCCGGGCUCAACCCGGGCCUUGCAGCGCAAACUGGGGUGCUGGAGUGCGCGGAAGGCAGGCGGAAUUCGUCGUGUAGCGGUGAAAUGCUUAGAUAUGACGAAGAACCCCGAUUGCGAAGGCAGCUUGCUGCAGCGGAACUGACGCUGAUGCUCGAAAGCGCGGGUAUCGAACAGGAUUAGAUACCCGAGUAGUC